AUGUAGUGAGGGAGCUUUUCAGUCUCAUAUGUAGUGAGGGAGCUUUUCAGUCUCGUUUGUGUAGCGAGGGAGUUUUUC